UGACCGUGUCGUGACUGGCGUUGUGGGUGGACCAACCACCGGGGAGCGACACGCCGCGGUGCAUGCCGCGGAGCAGUCUUCGGCCGUUCGCCUGGGUCGAGGUC
rnacentral:ncRNA from 2 species